rnacentral:rRNA from 1 species
UGGGGAAUAUUGGACAAUGGGGGAAACCCUGAUCCAGCGACGCCGCGUGUGUGAAGAAGGCCUGCGGGUUGUAAAGCACUUUCGGUGGGAACGAAAUAUGCCGGGCUAAUACCCCGGUACGGCUGACGUUACUCAAUGAAGAAGCACCGGCUAACUCUGUGCCAGCAGCCGCGGUAAUACAGAGGGUGCGAGCGUUAAUCGGAAUUACUGGGCGUAAAGCGCACGUAGGUGGCGACGUAAGUCGGGUGUGAAAGCCCCGGGCUCAACCUGGGAACAGCAUUCGAGACUGUGUUGCUGGAGUACGGAAGAGGAGGGCGGAAUUCCCGGUGUAGCGGUGAAAUGCGUAGAUAUCGGGAGGAACAUCAGUGGCGAAGGCGGCCCUCUGGUCCAGUACUGACACUCAAGUGCGAAAGCGUGGGGAGCAAACAGGAUUAGAUACCCACGUAGUCCCUGAGCGGGCUGGCAAGGCGCAU